AGGCUGUUAGGAAGGCAGUUAGGCUGCAGUGAAUUCUACAAAGAGGCUAUGGGAAAGAAACCUGGAAAGUACCCUUGGCUGUGUACAUUUGAGUAAAGAGAGCACUAUAAAAUCAAAAACCAAUGAAAUGGUUUCCAGAACACAGAACUAUUAAGCUUAAGAAAAGGACAGAAGGAACUGAAGAGAGAGGAACUGUUUUGGAGCAUCACACUUCCACCUCAGAAGAAAUAAGGAAGGAAGGAGGAGGGUGUUCCCACGGCUCUUCAACCAGGCCGGCUCUUCAGCCUACAUCCCCAUCUCAUCAAGUAAAAGGGAUUUUUCAACUGGACCAACCAGAUGGUUUAACAGUGCACUCCCACACCAUUCAACUACGCAAGGGAGAUACACUUAACAUAUGCAGUCGUAUAACACCUACUAACAUUUUCAAACAUUAAACCUUUAAAAAAGAGUUCUAAAGAAAUAGAAGCUUGAAGUAUCAUCUCUCAAGUAUAUAGACACUACUUCAUGGUGUGGUAAUAUAUGCAUAUAGAAGCUAGUAAACACCUCCAGGAGAUGCAAAAGGAAUUAGAACUGCCACAAGGUGCAAGCAAAACCUUGAGUCUCCAUUGAUGGUGAAGUAUUUUCACUAUUUGGCAUGUCUUCUCUAGUACCUAGAGCAGUGCGUUGCAUGCAGUAGCAGGUUUAUAAACAUUUGCGAGUAAAACAUCCAACCUGAUACUCAAGCUUCUUUAAAAUAUGAAGACUUCGAAGUUAUUUAUCCAAACCAACCUGAUCAUUUCUUAAGAGUGAAUAUACCUUGGAAGACGUGUCCUGCCUUUAGUAGCGUCACAAUGGAUUACAUCCUCUAUAAAGCAGUCUGGGAGGCUAACAUCUGCCACAAGACAAAUAUGGUGCCUGCCCCCAUGGAGCUCAUAUUCGAAUGGAGAAAAUGUCAACAAGUAUCCCACGGAGUGAACACUUCAAAAGGAGAAGCACAGGUGAGAAAAUCGAAUUUGGACACCGUUGAGGAGACUAUUGCAGUCAUCCAAGCUCAAGAUGGUGGAGCUUCAUCCUUGAGAAUAACCAAUGGGGAUAGAUUUAAGAGACACUUAGAGUCUGCAGCCAACAGGGCUGAAUGAGCAGAGAGUUAUGAUUCAGAAGAUCAUCUAAAAUUGAACAGCUGCCACUACUGGCAAUAAGUCUACUGCCAUUUGGUAGAUAACCUUCUUAUCACACAGAAAAAUAUCAGUACAGACAAAUAGACCGCAAAGAAAAUGAGACCAUCAGCAAAGAAGAUAAAGAAGUUUGUACAAAGCAACUUUUUAUAAAUGGAUGGCUGUCAGGCAAAAAUAAAUUUCCUGUGGACAAGACCAAGAGCAAGGCAAGAGGAAAAUAAACAUGUUUAAACUA
ensembl:lncRNA LINC00343 long intergenic non-protein coding RNA 343